rnacentral:rRNA from 1 species
CGACACGGGGAGGUAGUGACAAUAAAUACUGAUACAGGGCUCUUUUGGGUCUUGUAAUUGGAAUGAGUACAAUUUAAAUCCCUUAACGAGGAACAAUUGGAGGGCAAGUCUGGUGCCAGCAGCCGCGGUAAUUCCAGCUCCAAUAGCGUAUAUUAAAGUUGUUGCAGUUAAAAAGCUCGUAGUUGAACCUUGGGCCUGGCUGGCCGGUCCGCCUCACCGCGUGUACUGGUCCGGCCGGGCCUUUCCUUCUGGGGAACCUCAUGCCCUUCACUGGGCGUGUUGGGGAACCAGGACUUUUACUUUGAAAAAAUUAGAGUGUUCAAAGCAGGCCUUUGCUCGAAUACAUUAGCAUGGAAUAAUAGAAUAGGACGUGUGGUUCUAUUUUGUUGGUUUCUAGGACCGCCGUAAUGAUUAAUAGGGAUAGUCGGGGGCAUCAGUAUUCAAUCGUCAGAGGUGAAAUUCUUGGAUUGAUUGAAGACUAACUACUGCGAAAGCAUUUGCCAAGGAUGUCUUCAUUAAUCAGUGAACGAAAGUUAGGGGAUCGAAGACGAUCAGAUACCGUCGUAGUCUUAACCAUAAACUAUGCCGACUAGGGAUCGGACGGUGUUAGUAUUUUGACCCGUUCGGCACCUUACGAGAAAUCAAAGUUUUUGGGUUCUGGGGGGAGUAUGGUCGCAAGGCUGAAACUUAAAGAAAUUGACGGAAGGGCACCACCAGGCGUGGAGCCUG